UCGCCUUCAGCACAAACUGAAAAACAUUCACUUGAUCCUCCCUUGAAGCUGGCAAGAGGCAGGCUGGGAAUAUGCCACAGAAAGAAAAAAAAUGACCCUGCCAGAUUCUCCAGUUUCCAAAGUCAAGAAGAGAUCUGGUUGGUGCCCCAGAACUGACUGCCUACCAAACAGCCUGCAGAGAUGGCUCCGUUGUGCGGGGCGUGUCCACACCGGAACGCUUGGGACAGCUCCUGGUUGCCCACUAGGAGAGUCUGAGCCUGACUAUUUUUUGCCAAGUGGGUGGGAGAACACCAAAGCCUUUGACUGUGUGGAUCACAACAAACUGUGGAAAAUUCUUAAAACGAUGGGAAUAUCAGACCACCUGACCUGCCUCCUGAGAAAUCUGUAUGCAGAUCAAGAAGCAACAGCUAGAACUGGACAUGGAACAACAGACUGGUUCCAAAUUGGGAAAGGAGUAGGUCAAGGCUGUGUAUUGUCACCAUGCUUAUUUAACUUAUUUGCAGAGUACAUCAUGAGAAAUGCCAGGCUGGAAGAAGCACAAGCUGGAAUCAAGAUUGCUGGGAGAAAUAUCAAUAAUCUAAGAUACACAGGGAGAAGGAAAUGGCAAACCACUCCAGUAUUCUUGCCCAGAUAAUGCUGUGGACAGAGGAGCCAGGUGGGCUGCCAUCAAUGGGGUCGCACAGAGUUGGACUCAACUGAAGUGACUUAGCAGCAUCAGCAGCAGAUACACAGAUGACACCACCCUUAUCAGAAAGUGAAAAAGGAGAGUGAAAAAGUUGGCUUAAAACUCAACAUUCAGAAAACUAAGAUCAUGGCAUCUGGUUCCAUCACUUCAUGACAAAUGGAUGGGGAAACAAUGGAAACAGUGACAGACUUUAUUUUGGGGGGCUCCAAAAUCACUGCAGAUGGUGACUGCAGCCAUGAAAUUAAAAGAUGCUUGCUCACUGGAAGAAAAGCUAUGACCAACUUAGACAGCAUAUUAAAAAGCAGAGACAUUACUUUACCGACAAAGGUCUGUCUAGUCAAAGCUAUGGUUUUUCCAGUAGUCAUGUAUGAACAUGAGAGAUGGAUUAUAAAGAAAGCUGAGCACUGAAGAAUUGAUGCUUUCGAGCUGUGGUGUUGGAGAAGACUCCUGAGAGUCCCUUGGACUGCAAGGAGAUCAAACCAGUCAAUUCUAAAGGAAAUCAUCCUGAAUAUUCAUUGGAAGGACUGAAGCUGAAACUCCAAUACUUUGGCCACCUGAUGCGAAAAACUGACUCACUGGAAAAGACCCUGAUGUUGGGAAAGGUUGAAGGCGGGAGGAGACGGGGAUGACAGAGGUUGAGAUGGUUGAAUGGCAUCACUGACUUGAUGGACAUGAGUUUGAGCAAGCUUUGGGAGUUGGUGAUGGACAGGGAAGCCUGGCGUGCUGCAAUCCAUGGGGUCGGACACGACUGAGUGACUGAACUGAACUGAACUGAACUGGGAUGGGAGCUUUUAGGAGGGAAGAAGCAUGGAGGUGACUUUUCUUGGGGUGUCCUAAUGACAGUGACCAGAAUCUCAAGGGGUGUUUUCAGAUUCCACAAUAUAAUGAGAGAAAAGGAACCAACUCCUUAAAUGAAGAACUUGCAGUCACCUUGAUCCAGGUACACGUG
ensembl:lncRNA